rnacentral:rRNA from 1 species
UGCGUAGGCGGUUCUGUAAGUAUGGUGUGAAAUCUCCCGGCUUAACUGGGAGGGUGCGCUAUAGACUGCGGGACUCGAGUGUGGGAGAGGAAAGUGGAAUUCCUGGUGUAGCGGUGAAAUGCGUAGAUAUCAGGAGGAACACCGGUGGUGUAAACGGCUUUCUGGACCAUAACUGACGCUGAGGCACGAAAGCGUGGGUAGCAAACAGGAUUAGAUACCCUGGUAGUCCACGCCCUAAACGAUGCAUAUUUGGUGUGGGUCAUUCAGUUGAUCCGUGCCGGAGCUAACGCGUUAAAUAUGCCGCCGUGGGGAGUACAGUCGCAAGGCUAGAA